GACGAACGCUGGCGGCGUGCUUAACACAUGCAAGUCGAACGGAAAGGCCCUGCUUUUGUGGGGUGCUCGAGUGGCGAACGGGUGAGUAACACGUGAGUAACCUGCCCUUGACUUUGGGAUAACUUCAGGAAACUGGGGCUAAUACCGGAUAGGAGCUCCUGCUGCAUGGUGGGGGUUGGAAAGUUUCGGCGGUUGGGGAUGGACUCGCGGCUUAUCAGCUUGUUGGUGGGGUAGUGGCUUACCAAGGCUUUGACGGGUAGCCGGCCUGAGAGGGUGACCGGGCACAUUGGGACUGAGAGACGGACCAGACUCCUACGGGAGGCAGCAGUGGGGAAUAUUGCACAAUGAGCGGGAGCCUGAUGCAGCAACGCCGCGUGCGGGAUGACGGCCUUCGGGUUGUAAACCGCUUUCGCCUGUGACGAAGCGUGAGUGACGGUAAUGAGUAAAGAAGCACCGGCUAACUACGUG
rnacentral:rRNA from 1 species